CCUACGGGGGGCAGCAGUGGGGAAUAUUGGGCAAUGGGCGCAAGCCUGACCCAGCAACGCCGCGUGAAGGAAGAAGGCUUUAGGGUUGUAAACUUCUUUUGACAGGGAAGAGUAGAAGACGGUACCUGUCGAAUAAGCCACGGCUAACUACGUGCCAGCAGCCGCGGCAAUACGGAGGUGGCAAGCGUUGUCCGGAUUUACUGGGUGUAAAGGGCGUGUAGGCGGGUUGACAAGUCAGAUGUGUAAUCCUGCGGCUUAACCGCAGAACUGCAUUUGAAAUUGUUGGUCUUGAGUACUGUGGAGGCAGACGGAAUUGCUGGUGUAGCGGUGAAAUGCGUAGAUAUUAGGAGGAACACCAGUGGCGAAGGCGGUCUGCUGGACAGCAACUGACGGUGAGGCGCGAAAGCGUGGGGAGCAAACAGGAUUAUAUACCCGUGUAGUC
rnacentral:rRNA from 1 species